GGGAAACUCCCGAGCUCUGCUCGGCGUUCGCAGCCGCCGUCGUCCCGCGGAGGAGCGCGCAGCCCGGGGGAGGCCGGAGGACGCAGGGAAGUCGGCCAGCAGCCCCAAGCCUGACACCAAGGUGCCCCAGGCCACCACCGAGGCCAAGGUACCCCCGGCAGCCGAUGGGAAAGCCCCCUUGACCAAGUCCUCGAAGAAGGAGGCCCCGGCCGAGAAGCAGCAGCCGCCUGCAGCCCCCACCACGGCACCUGCCAAGAAGACCCCGGCCAAGGCUGACCCUGCCCUUCUCAACAACCACAGCAACCUGAAGCCGGCCCCCACAGCCCCCACGGUCCCCAGCAGUCCCGAUGCAACCCCGGAGCCCAAGGGUCCUGGGGACGGGGCGGAGGAGGACGAGGCUGCCAGUGGGGGGCCUGGGGGCCGAGGUCCCUGGUCCUGUGAGAACUUCAACCCCCUGCUGGUAGCUGGGGGUGUGGCCGUG
rnacentral:sRNA from 1 species